rnacentral:ncRNA from 1 species
AAAAAGAAAGAAAGGAGAGAAGGUUAGCACUCCCCUUGACAAGGAUGGAAGAGGCCCUUGGGCCUAACAACACACAUAUGGCUAAGGCAUUACCACCCACUUCAUUCC